rnacentral:rRNA from 1 species
AAAGUUAUCCAAACUCGGUCAUUUAGAGGAAGUAAAAGUCGUAACAAGGUCUCCGUUGGUGAACCAGCGGAGGGAUCAUUACAGAGUUGCAAAACUCCCUAAACCAUCGCGAACGUUACCUUGAACCGUUGCUUCGGCGGGCGGCGCCCCUUUUCGCGGGGCGCCCCUGGGGCCCGUUUCACCGCGGGCUGCCCGCCGGAGGUAUACAACCAAAAACUCUUGAUAUUUCUUUGGCCACUCUGAGUCUUCUGUUACUGAAUUAAGUCAAAACUUUCAACAACGGAUCUCUUGGUUCUGGCAUCGAUGAAGAACGCAGCGAAAUGCGAUAAGUAAUGUGAAUUGCAGAAUUCAGUGAAUCAUCGAAUCUUUGAACGCACAUUGCGCCCGCCAGUAUCCUGGCGGGCAUGCCUGUUCGAGCGUCAUUUCACCCAUCAAGCCCAAGGCUUGUGUUGGGGACCUGCGGCUGCCCGCAGGCCCUGAAAACCAGUGGCGGGCUCGCUAGUUCACACCGAGCGUAGUAGCAUACACAAAAAAAAACCUCGCUCAGGGCGUGCUGCGGGUUCUAGCCGUAAAACGACUUUUACAACCCCAAGGUUGACCUCGGAUCAGGUAGGAGGACCCGCUGAACUUAAGCAUAUCAAUAAGCGGAGGAAAAGAAACCAACAGGGAUUGCCCUAGUAACGGCGAGUGAAGCGGCAACAGCUCAAAUUGAAAUCUGGCUUCGGCCCGAGUUGUAAUUGCA